UCCUGGCUCAGAUUGAACGCUGGCGGAACGCUUUACACAUGCAAGUCGAACGGUAACGCGGAGAGAAGCUUGCUUCUCUCCGGCGACGAGUGGCGAACGGGUGAGUAAUACAUCGGAACGUGUCCGCUCGUGGGGGACAACCAGCCGAAAGGUUGGCUAAUACCGCAUGAGUUCUACGGAAGAAAGAGGGGGACCCGCAAGGGCCUCUCGCGAGCGGAGCGGCCGAUGACUGAUUAGCCGGUUGGUGAGGUAACGGCUCACCAAAGCAACGAUCAGUAGCUGGUCUGAGAGGACGACCAGCCACACUGGGACUGAGACACGGCCCAGACUCCUACGGGAGGCAGCAGUGGGGAAUUUUGGACAAUGGGCGCAAGCCUGAUCCAGCUAUUCCGCGUGUGGGAUGAAGGCCCUCGGGUUGUAAACCACUUUUGUAGAGAACGAAAAGACACCUUCGAAUAAAGGGUGUUGCUGACGGUACUCUAAGAAUAAGCACCGGCUAACUACGUGCCAGCAGCCGCGGUAAUACGUAGGGUGCGAGCGUUAAUCGGAAUUACUGGGCGUAAAGGGUGCGCAGGCGGUUGAGUAAGACAGAUGUGAAAUCCCCGAGCUUAACUCGGGAAUGGCAUAUGUGACUGCUCGACUAGAGUGUGUCAGAGGGAGGUGGAAUUCCACGUGUAGCAGUGAAAUGCGUAGAUAUGUGGAAGAACACCGAUGGCGAAGGCAGCCUCCUGGGACAUAACUGACGCUCAGGCACGAAAGCGUGGGGAGCAAACAGGAUUAGAUACCCUGGUAGUCCACGCCCUAAACGAUGUCUACUGGUUGUUGGAGGGUAAAACCUUCAGUAACGAAGCUAACGCGUGAAGUAGACCGCCUGGGGAGUACGGUCGCAAGAUUAAAACUCAAAGGAAUUGACGGGGACCCGCACAAGCGGUGGAGCAUGUGGUUUAAUUCGAA
rnacentral:rRNA from 1 species